rnacentral:rRNA from 1 species
CCUACGGGAGGCAGCAGUGAGGAAUAUUGGUCAAUGGGCGGGAGCCUGAACCAGCCAAGUCGCGUGAGGGAAGACGGUCCUAUGGAUUGUAAACCUCUUUAGGCGGGGAGCAAUGCCGGGCACGUGUGCCCGGAGGGAGGGUACCCGCAGAAUAAGCAUCGGCUAACUCCGUGCCAGCAGCCGGGGUAAUACGGAGGAUGCGAGCGUUAUCCGGAUUUAUUGGGUUUAAAGGGUGCGUAGGCGGAUUUUUAAGUCAGCGGUAAAAUGUCCGGGCUCAACCCGGGCCGGCCGUUGAAACUGGGGAGCUUGAGUGGGCGAGAAGUAUGCGGAAUGCGUGGUGUAGCGGUGAAAUGCAUAGAUAUCACGCAGAACUCCGAUUGCGAAGGCAGCAUACCGGCGCCCGACUGACGCUGAGGCACGAAAGCGUGGGGAUCGAACAGGAUUAGAUACCCGAGUAGUC